GUGGAUAAUGAUUUGAGUUAAUCUUAUUAUAUUCAUGAAGGAGCAGAUUUUCUGGCUUUUGUGCAUUUAUUUGCUUGUUAUUAAAUUUGAAACAAAAUUUUUUCCUUAUGCACUAUCUAGUUCAUUUCAUUUAUAUUCUUAAUCCAAUUGAAUUUCAGAUAGAUGCUCAUCGUGCACCUCUGGCUGCUAUUGUCCUAUGUUCCAAUGGGAAGUACAUAGCAACUGCUUCUGAACAGGGAACCAUAAUCAGAGUCCAUUUGGUUUUUGAUGCAACUAAGGUUUUCAGAGGCUGCCAUUACAGAUGGUCCACAAGAAAGGCAGAAAGCAGUUUGAAUCCAAUGUGGCCCUCACUUUAGAGCUCAUAAGAAAAUUAACUACU